rnacentral:tRNA from 1 species
UGGCAUAAUGGUUAAGUGCUUGGCUGCCAACCAAAAGGUUGGUGGUUAGAACCCACC